AGUGAACGCUGGCGGUAGGCCUAACACAUGCAAGUCGAACGGCAGCACAGUAAGAGCUUGCUCUUACGGGUGGCGAGUGGCGGACGGGUGAGGAAUACAUCGGAAUCUACUUUUUCGUGGGGGAUAACGUAGGGAAACUUACGCUAAUACCGCAUACGACCUACGGGUGAAAGCAGGGGAUCUUCGGACCUUGCGCGAUUGAAUGAGCCGAUGUCGGAUUAGCUAGUUGGCGGGGUAAAGGCCCACCAAGGCGACGAUCCGUAGCUGGUCUGAGAGGAUGAUCCUCCACACUGGAACUGAGACACGGUCCUGACUCCUACGGGAGGCAGCAGUGGGGAAUAUUGGACAAUGGGCGUAAGCCUGAUCCAGCCAUACCGCCUGGGUGAAGAAGGCCUUCGGGUUGUAAAGCCCUUUUGUUGGGAAAGAAAAGCAGCAGGUUAAUACCCCGCUGUUCUGACGGUACCCAAAGAAUAAGCACCGGCUAACUUCGUG
rnacentral:rRNA from 1 species